rnacentral:rRNA from 1 species
GAUCAUGGGCUCAGGAUGAACGCUAGCGGCAGGCUUAACACAUGCAAGUCGAGGGGCAGCGCGGAGUAGCAAUACUCUGGCGGCGACCGGCGGAAGGGUGCGUAACACGUGAGCGACUUGCCCGUCACAGGGAGAUAACCGCUGGAAACGGCGACUAAUAUCCCAUAUGAUGGCGAUCUGCAUGGAUUGUCAUUGAAAGAUUCAUCGGUGACGGAUAGG